rnacentral:rRNA from 1 species
GAUGAACGCUGGCGGCGUGCCUAAUACAUGCAAGUCGAGCGAACAGACGAGGAGCUUGCUCCUCUGACGUUAGCGGCGGACGGGUGAGUAACACGUGGAUCACCUACCUAUAAGACUGGGAUAACUUCGGGAAACCGGCGCUAAUACCGGAUAAUAUAUUGAACCGCAUGGUUCAAUAGUGAAAGACGGUUUUGCUGUCACUUAUAGAUGGAUCCGCGCCGCAUUAGCUAGUUGGUAAGGUAACGGCUUACCAAGGCAACGAUGCGUAGCCGACCUGAGAGGGUGAUCGGCCACACUGGAACUGAGACACGGUCCAGACUCCUACGGGAGGCAGCAGUAGGGAAUCUUCCGCAAUGGGCGAAAGCCUGACGGAGCAACGCCGCGUGAGUGAUGAAGGUCUUCGGAUCGUAAAACUCUGUUAUUAGGGAAGAACAAAUGUGUAAGUAACUAUGCACGUCUUGACGGUACCUAAUCAGAAAGCCACGGCUAACUACGUG